GGAGACGUAGCUCAGUGGUAGAGCACUUGCCUAACAUACAUAAGGUCCUGAGUUCAAGUCUCAGCCCU
rnacentral:tRNA from 1 species